rnacentral:rRNA from 1 species
UAAUACGUAGGGAGCAAGCGUUGUCCGGAUUCACUGGGUGUAAAGGGUGCGCAGGCGGAUUGGUAAGUCAGGGGUGAAAUCUCACGGCUUAACCGUGAAAUUGCCUUUGAUACUGCCAAUCUUGAGUUCGGGAGAGGUCGAUGGAAUUCCAGGUGUAGCGGUGAAAUGCGUAGAUAUCUGGAAGAACACCAGUAGCGAAGGCGGUCGACUGGCCCGUAACUGACGCUCAGGCACGAAAGCGUGGGUAGCGAACAGGAUUAGAUACCCUGGUAGUCCACGCCCUAAACGAUGUAUGCUUGGUGUCGGCUCUUUCGAGUCGGUGCCGUAGGUAACCUGAUAAGCAUACCACCUGGGGAGUACGCUCGCAAGGGUG